GUAACGCGUGGGUAACCUGCCUUGUACAGGGGGAUAACAGUUGGAAACGGCUGCUAAUACCGCAUAAGCGCACGGCAUCGCAUGAUGCAGUGUGAAAAACUCCGGUGGUAUAAGAUGGACCCGCGUUGGAUUAGCUAGUUGGUGAGGUAACGGCCCACCAAGGCGACGAUCCAUAGCCGACCUGAGAGGGUGACCGGCCACAUUGGGACUGAGACACGGCCCAA
rnacentral:rRNA from 1 species